rnacentral:tRNA from 1 species
GAGGGUAUGGCUCAGUGGUAGAGUGUGUGCUUAGCACAUGUGAGGUCCUGGGUUCAAUCCCCAGUCCCUCCA